rnacentral:rRNA from 1 species
UCGACUUCGGGAUAAGCCCGGGAAACUGGGUCUAAUACCGGAUAUGACGACCGAAGGCAUCUUUGGUUGUGGAAAGUUUUUUCGGUUGGGGAUGGGCUCGCGGCCUAUCAGUUUGUUGGUGAGGUAAUGGCUCACCAAGACGACGACGGGUAGCCGGCCUGAGAGGGCGACCGGCCACACUGGGACUGAGACACGGCCCAGACUCCUACGGGAGGCAGCAGUGGGGAAUAUUGCACAAUGGGGGAAACCCUGAUGCAGCGACGCAGCGUGCGGGAUGACGGCCUUCGGGUUGUAAACCGCUUUCAGCAGGGAAGAAGCCUUUCGGGGUGACGGUACCUGCAGAAGAAGUACCGGCUAACUACGUGCCAGCAGCCGCGGUAAUACGUAGGGUACAAGCGUUGUCCGGAAUUAUUGGGCGUAAAGAGCUCGUAGGUGGUUGGUCACGUCUGCUGUGGAAACGCAACGCUUAACGUUGCGCGUGCAGUGGGUACGGGCUGACUAGAGUGCAGUAGGGGAGUCUGGAAUUCCUGGUGUAGCGGUGAAAUGCGCAGAUAUCAGGAGGAACACCGGUGGCGAAGGCGGGACUCUGGGCUGUAACUGACACUGAGGAGCGAAAGCAUGGGGAGCGAACAGGAUUAGAUACCCUGGUAGUCCAUGCCGUAAACGUUGGGCACUAGGUGUGGGGGACAUUCCACGUUCUCCGCGCCGUAGCUAACGCAUUAAGUGCCCCCCGCCU